UACUUAAUUUUCAUAUAAAAUAUAUAUAAAUAUAUAAUUUUUAAUUUUUUAUAUGAUAUAAAUACAUAAAUCAUUAGAUUUAUGCUCAUAUUGACUAGAGUACCAGCAGGGCUAUUUCUUCCAAUCACAUGAUUUAGUCGGCUAAAAACUAGGGCUACACGCUGCUUUUUGGGCCAGCCCACUAGACAAGCAAACCAUAUAAUUCAAUUGAAAAGACCAAAAUUUUUUAU
rnacentral:lncRNA from 1 species